AGAGUUUGAUCAUGGCUCAGGAUGAACGCUAGCGGCAGGCCUAACACAUGCAAGUCGAGGGGUAACAUAGAAAAGCUUGCUUUUCUGAUGACGACCGGCGAACGGGUGCGUAACGCGUAUACAAUCUGCCUUAUACUGGGGUAUAGCCUUUAGAAAUGAAGAUUAAUCCCCCAUAGCCUCUUUUAAUGGCAUCAUUAUAAGAGUAAAGGUUACGGUAUAAGAUGAGUAUGCGUUCUAUUAGUUUGUUGGUGAGGUAACGGCUCACCAAGACUGCGAUAGAUAGGGGCCCUGAGAGGGGGAUCCCCCACACUGGUACUGAGACACGGACCAGACUCCUACGGGAGGCAGCAGUGAGGAAUAUUGGACAAUGGAGGCAACUCUGAUCCAGCCAUGCCGCGUGCAGGAAGACUGCCCUAUGGGUUGUAAACUGCUUUUAUACAGGAAGAAACCUUGGUACGUGUACCAAGCUGACGGUACUGUAAGAAUAAGGAUCGGCUAACUCCGUGCCAGCAGCCGCGGUAAUACGGAGGAUCCAAGCGUUAUCCGGAAUCAUUGGGUUUAAAGGGUCCGUAGGUGGAUAAUUAAGUCAGAGGUGAAAUCUUGCAGCUCAACUGUAAAAUUGCCUUUGAUACUGGUUAUCUUGAGUCAUUAUGAAGUAGUUAGAAUAUGUAGUGUAGCGGUGAAAUGCAUAGAUAUUACAUAGAAUACCAAUUGCGAAGGCAGAUUACUAAUAAUGUACUGACACUGAUGGACGAAAGCGUGGGUAGCGAACAGGAUUAGAUACCCUGGUAGUCCACGCCGUAAACGAUGGUUACUAGCUGUGUGGACUUCGGUCUGCGUGGCUAAGCGAAAGUGAUAAGUAACCCACCUGGGGAGUACGUUCGCAAGAAUGAAACUCAAAGGAAUUGACGGGGGCCCGCACAAGCGGUGGAGCAUGUGGUUUAAUUCGAUGAUACGCGAGGAACCUUACCAGGGCUUAAAUGUAAGUUGCAUUAGCUAGAGAUAGCUAUUUCUUCGGACCACUUACAAGGUGCUGCAUGGUUGUCGUCAGCUCGUGCCGUGAGGUGUCAGGUUAAGUCCUAUAACGAGCGCAACCCCUGUUGUUAGUUGCCAGCGAGUCAUGUCGGGAACUCUAACAAGACUGCCGGUGCAAACCAUGAGGAAGGUGGGGAUGACGUCAAAUCAUCACGGCCCUUACGUCCUGGGCUACACACGUGCUACAAUGGUCGGUACAGAGAGCAGCCACUGCGCGAGCAGGAGCGAAUCUAUAAAACCGAUCACAGUUCGGAUCGGAGUCUGCAACUCGACUCCGUGAAGCUGGAAUCGCUAGUAAUCGGAUAUCAGCCAUGAUCCGGUGAAUACGUUCCCGGGCCU
rnacentral:rRNA from 1 species